CACACAUGGAAACUUAUGCAUCCUGGAAACCACCAGUACGUCCUAUAAAAAGAAAUAUUUCCACUGCAACAUACAUUUUUCCAGCUUAAGUCUGGAUGGGACUUCUGGGUGCAACUACUGAUCAGGAAACACACACAAACUCAAAACAGCUGAGGAGCAUUCCAACCCAGAACUGAUUCCACGUCAGUUCCUCAAGAAUAAAAGCCGCUAUUACCUGAGAGGUAUCUCUCCAGAGGGGAGGUGGAGCUUUGGCUUCCCCAACAGCAGAAGAACAGGCACCAAACCAGGACAGUGGCCAACACCAGCACGAACACCCAGAGCAGCCGGGCCAGAGGCGGCUACUGUGAGUGGAUCUGAGUUGCAGAUGGGCAGCAGCUGCGCAGAAGGCCACAGCCCACGUCAGCUCUGGAGGAGUGAGUAUGUGUCAGCGUGUGUUUCCUUCAGCGACUCGAGCAGUGAGGAGUAAAGCACAACGUGGUCUCGAAUAUCCAACAGCCACUCCCAGGGCAAAACAUCACACACACCCUCGCGUUUGACUCGGGCCCGGAGACCUGCUGGUUAAUGAUCUGGCUGGAGAUCCAUUCACAGCACGCUAUACUCUAUUUACAGUGGCUAAGAGGAUUAACGCUACUCUAUCAGGAUUCCUCCGGGGAGGCGGGGCUACCUGAUGCUGAUGCACUGAUGGAUCCGACA